GACAGAGGUGCCAAGCGUUAGGCGGAAUCACUGGGCUUAAAGCGUGUGUAGGCGGACUUGUAAGUACCUUGUGAAAUCCCACGGCUCACCCGUGGAACUGCUGGGUAUACUGCGAGUCUUGAGCCACUUAGGGGCUGUCGGAACAGGCGGUGGAGCGGUGAAAUGCGUAGAUAUCGCCUGGAACGCCAAAGGUGAAAACAGACAGCUGGGAGUGUGCUGACGCUGAGACACGAAAGCCAGGGGAGCGAACGGGG
rnacentral:rRNA from 1 species